rnacentral:rRNA from 1 species
AUUGAACGCUGGCGGCAGGCCUAACACAUGCAAGUCGAACGGAAAAAGGGAGCUUGCUCCUGAAUACAGGGGCGGGGGGGAGUGUAAUACCUAGAAAUCUCCCUGCGUGUGGGGUAUAACGUCCGGAGACGGGCGCUAAUACCGCAUGAGCUCUGAGGGAGAAAGGGGGGGAGCUUCGGACCUCACGCUAUCAGAUGCGCCUAGGUCGGAUUAGCUAGUUGGUGGGGUAAAGGCCUACCAAGGCGACGAUCUGUAGCUGGUCUGAGAGGAUGAUCAGCCACACUGGAACUGAGACACGGUCCAGACUCCUACGGGAGGCAGCAGUGGGGAAUAUUGGACAAUGGGCGAAAGCCUGAUCCAGCCAUGCCGCGUGUGUGAAGAAGGCCUUCGGAUUGUAAAGCGCUUUUGGUCGGGAGGAAACGCAUUAGGUUAAUACCUUGCUGUUUUGACGGUACCGACAGAAUAAGCACCGGCUAACUACGUG